rnacentral:rRNA from 1 species
UACGUAGGGGGCAAGCGUUGUCCGGAUUUAUUGGGCGUAAGGAGCGUGUAGGCGGCUUUACAGGUCCGUUGUGAAAACUCGAGGCUUAACCUCGAGCUGUCGGCGGAAACCAUCUGGCUAGAGUCCGGAAGAGGAGAAUGGAAUUCCCGGUGUAGUGGUGAAAUGCGCAGAUAUCGGGAAGAACACCCGUGGCGAAGGCGGUUCUCUGGGACGGUACUGACGCUGAGACGCGAAAGCGUGGGGAGCGAACAGG